AUCCUCCUCUAUUUUAAUUAGCAAUCGCGAUCUGCUUAAUUAAACGGCGCUAAUGACGCGGAGAUCUACCAACGAGCUACGUAAUAGCGACGGAAGUGACAGCACGUUCUUGCUCGUGAUGUCGUCAAUGACUCUUACUCGUGCUCGGCGUCGUAAUCGGCGGAAGUUGAAAAAAAAUGGGGUUAAAUCGUGUUGUUCGGUAGAUACGAGUAAUAGCGUGCUUUUAUUGCUCCCGGAGCGACGAACUCUCGUUUAACGUGAUUGCGACGUCUCGACAGCGCGCGUAAAUAAGUCGGACAUAUUUAAAAUAGAAAUGGCUCGGUGACUUUUAUUUGCGCAUUUUUAUUUCUAACCUUUGAUAGAACUAUCGCAUAUUUUGGAGAGGUGAAGUUAUUUACAAGUCUGACGCCGUCGCGAAAUGUUCUGAUUUCAAUAAAUGUGUAAUCAGAUCAAAUUUUAUUGGGACGGUCUCUUUCAAAUGCAAUAUUUUUUGAUUUUAGAUGAUUAACCCUAGAAAACAAAACUGAAUUUGCCUUCAAAGACAAAAGUAGGGCAAAAUGUCACCCCAAACUUUGGAAUGUCUCAAUCUUUUCUACCAGCUGUAAAUUAAGUAAAUAAUUAAGUAAUGCAUUUUCUUCGUUUUAUGAAGAAAAUAACGAUGUACAUAAACAUGAUGUUUUUUUGUCAGAGAAAUAUUAAAAAAUUUAUUUAAAGCAAAAGAAACACGAAAAAUAUGCGGAAAUGAACGUAAUUUGAAUUUCGUUUGAGGUGAUAAUGCACUCCGCAUUUGUUUUCUAAGGUUAAUAUUUAAAUGUUCCCAAUAAAUUGGACAAUUCGUUUAGUUAAAUAUAAGGAUUAAAAAAAUUUUUGUAUGAAUGUUUUCGAUAAUACACAGAAUUUUUUAAAUAUACAAAAAUUCUAAAUAAUAAUAAACUUAUCAUAAAAUUUUUAUUUAGAUGCACUUUUUCUCAUUAAAACAUGCUGAGCAUUGUUAUGAGUGAACAUAGCAAUCUUAAACCAUGAACGACCCAUAAACUGUGGCCAGCAAAGAAAGAGAUUUCUGAGAUUGAAGCAAUAAUGCUUCUUUCUAUGCAAACAAAAGAAAGAUUAAUAGACUAAAAUAGCAUCAUCUCUUUGUCUUUCUUUCUUACUUAUUACAUAAAUCUUCUGCAAGUUAAAGCAAGAUUACGUUUUACAAUCCGUUACAAACUUUUCCGCAAGAUAUUGAGUAAUGAGUCUCAUAAGUGUUUGGAUUUUUAUAUCAAUAUCUAUAUACAAAAAGAAUAUAACAACAGAAAUUCUAUUUUAAACCUGAUAUGUGUUCAGAUAAAGUUGAUUAAUCAAAUAAUAUAAAAUAUUUGUUUAAAUUUAAUUUAUAAACAGAAUACUGUUAAAAUAAUAUAACAAAAUGUUUAAUUGUACAAUAUACAGAAUGUGUGUGUGUGUGUGUGCGUGUGUGUAUAGAUUCCUUUUAUUUCAAUAUUCUAAAAGAUUUUAAAAGAAUUUUUCAUUAUUAACUCAAGACAAAAACUUCAUAUGGUUAUAUAACUGUAUAUAAGUAUAUGACAAAGAUGACACAAUGUGUCAAAGUUGACGAGAAAAAUUUCAUUUUUUCCAAAAAUUAUAAAAAUUGCUCAGAUGUUAUUUUGAUAAAACUUUCUAUAUAUUUCAAAGGUUAUCUUGUAUGCGUUAAUAUUUCUAAUAAAUGAUAUGAAUGAAAAUUAUUGUAGACAACAGGAACGUCAAGGCAAUUUACUAUUCGUAAAAAAAGCAGUUAAACUUUUCGAAUAAAGUUUCUCUCGCAGAAAAAUAUUGAAUCAGUGAAGCGAUAAAACUCUGACAUAGGAGGGAUAUGUUGCACAGGAUAUUUUAUGUUUUAUAAAUUUUUGAUGCAUGUUUAUUGAGUAUUCGAGAAAGUUUUUCCAACGCGACCUGUAUGUAAUUUAUAACCAAGUCAUCUGCAAAAAGUGAACUAAGUAGUGUAUCUCGCAAGAAAAAGGUCAAAAUAUUCGUGUCUUGCUCGCCCAAGCAGAAACUUCACAGUUUCGAAUAGUUUAUAUCGAUCUGCCGGGAUUAUAACGUCAAUGACUCGUGCUACGUCAUUGCACACUAUUAUUUUUUAUCUCUUUUGCUAAAGCUCAUACAUGUUUAUUUCAUGAUUUCUUAACGGAAGAAAAAUGAUACUUUUAUAAUAUCUGCAUAGACGUAUAAUGAUAAUUUAGCACAAAAGUAAACACGAUAUCAGUAACUCAUAAGAAGUGUUGCGCAAAUAAAAUUUCUUCUUACUUAACAUUGUAUAAGUCAUGUUCAACAGAAAUCAACACUUUAAUAAACGCUUUCCAUUGAUUAGAUUAAAUACUUUUAUGGUAGAUCUAAAAGAAUAAUCUCUUUUAGCGAAGAAAACUAUACUAUAUGCACAAAGAUGAAUAAGUAUAAAAAAUAAAAAAAUAAAAAAAAUAUAGAUAAAAACGCAAGAUAGCAAAUUUAUAAUAGAUAUUUAACUCUAGAAAACAAAUGCAGAGUGUAUUAUCAUCCCAAA
rnacentral:lncRNA from 1 species